rnacentral:tRNA from 1 species
UCCCUGGUGGUUCAAUGGGUAGGACUCCCAUGCCUUCACUGUUGAGAGCCUGGGUUCAAUUCCUGGCUGGGGAA